CACAACCUCCAGGUAACACACACACAACCUCCAGGUAACACACACACAACCUCCAGGUAACACACACACAGCCUCCAGGUAACACACACACAGCCUCCAGGUAACACACACACAGCCUCCAGGUAACACACACACAACCUCCAGGUAACACACACACAACCUCCAGGUAACACACACACAACCUCCAGGUAACACACACACAACCUCCAGGUAACACACACACAACCUCCAGGUAACACACACACAACCUCCAGGUAACACACACACAGCCUCCAGGUAACACACACAGCCUCCAGGUAACACACACACAGCCUCCAGGUAACACACACACAGCCUCCAGGUAACACACACACAACCUCCAGGUAACACACACACAACCUCCAGGUAACACACACACAACCUCCAGGUAACACACACACAACCUCCAGGUAACACACACACAACCUCCAGGUAACACACACACAACCUCCAGGUAACACACACACAACCUCCAGGUAACACACACACAACCUCCAGGUAACACACACACAGCCUCCAGGUAACACACACACAGCCUCCAGGUAACACACACACAACCUCCAGGUAACACACACACAACCUCCAGGUAACACACACACAACCUCCAGGUAACACACACACAACCUC